rnacentral:rRNA from 1 species
UACGGGGGGAGCAAGCGUUGUUCGGAUUUACUGGGCGUAAAGGGCGCGUAGGAGGCCACCGCAAGUCAGUUGUGAAAUCUCCGAGCUUAACUCGGAAAGGUCAACUGAUACUGCGGGGCUAGAGUGCGGAAGGGGCAACUGGAAUUCUCGGUGUAGCGGUGAAAUGCGUAGAUAUCGAGAGGAACACCUGCGGCGAAGGCGGCUCACUGGACUGGUAUUGACGCUGAGGUGCGAAAGCGUGGGGAGCAAACAGG